UACAGAGGUCUCAAGCGUUGUUCGGAUUCAUUGGGCGUAAAGGGCGCGUAGGUGGCGGGACAAGCGUGCGGUGAAAGCCUGGGGCUCAACCCCGGGUCGGCCGUGCGAACUGUUUUGCUUGAGCACUGUAGAGGCGGCGGAAUUCCGGGUGUAGCGGUGGAAUGCGUAGAGAUCCGGAAGAACACCGGUGGCGAAGGCGGCCUGCUGGGCAGUGCUGACACUGAGGCGCGACAGCGUGGGGAGCAAACAGG
rnacentral:rRNA from 1 species